CUUACUAUUGAGCUUGAAAGUUGAACAAAACCCUAGCUAUAGCUCCUGGAGAUUUUCGGCCAACGUGGGAGAAGAUGGACACAUUUUUUUACUUAUUUUCCCUUUUAUUCUUUUAUUAACCAAAUGACAAAAAUGCCCUUAAGGUAUUUCUUUCAAAUUUUUCCUAUUCAUGCCCAUUUUUGCCCAUAAAAAUAGAAAUUGGGCAAAUUGCUAUCUAAGGACCUCUAAU
rnacentral:lncRNA from 1 species